GAUGAACGCUGGCGGCGUGCCUAAUACAUGCAAGUCGAGCGAAUGGAUUAAGAGCUUGCUCUUAUGAAGUUAGCGGCGGACGGGUGAGUAACACGUGGGUAACCUGCCCAUAAGACUGGGAUAACUCCGGGAAACCGGGGCUAAUACCGGAUAACAUUUUGAACAGCAUGGUUCGAAAUUGAAAGGCGGCUUCGGAUGUCCCUUAUGGCUGGACCCGCGUCGCCUUAGCUAGUUGGUGAGGUAACGGCUCACCAAGGCAACGAUGCGUAGCCGACCUGAGAGGGUGAUCGGCCACACUGGGACUGAGACACGGCCCAGACUCCUACGGGAGGCAGCAGUAGGGAAUCUUCCGCAAUGGACGAAAGUCUGACGGAGCAACGCCGCGUGAGUGAUGAAGGCUUUCGGGUCGUAAAACUCUGUUGUUAGGGAAGAACAAGUGCUAGUUGAAUAAGCUGGCACCUUGACGGUACCUAACCAGAAAGCCACGGCUAACUACGUGCCAGCAGCCGCCGUAA
rnacentral:rRNA from 1 species